ensembl:lncRNA
UCCAGCAGCAACAGAGGAAGAGAAAUGUGUUUCUGUGCAAUGCAAAAGCUAUUGUAAAAGACACUGUGAAGGUAAUGCUGGUUCUGCCACUAUGGUGACACAGGCAUCGGCCACGUGAACACACGCGGACGAACAGCCCGGACUCGGACCCUCCACCUCGCUGCAGCAGUUAACGUCGGCCUCCGUGAAGUGCAGCGAAACCACAUCAGCCCAAGACAACUUUUACAAGCCCUGUGCUGUCCGUCCUGCCCUCCAUCACACCGCCCCUUUUCUCCCAAAGGCAACGUUCCCCAUCCCAGAACCCUCCCCUAGGACCCAUUGGCACUCUCGGGUUGAGGUUUUACUUUCAGAAAUUUGUUCUUUUUUUACGGACAGCUGCUCCAGAGACAGAAACCAUUUUAACGGGAAGGAGCUAACGAUCAGCAAUAUUUACAACUUUGCCAGCUUGGAAUCUUAACCAACAAAUAUAUGACUUGAGGUUUAAAUUUGAGGUUUGUUCUCUGAUUUAAAUGCCAAAAAUAUUCAAACUGCUAGACAGCUUCUGGCUGUAUUGAAAUGUUUGGUGUGUGCUUUCAGUCUGUCAGAAGAGGAGGGAAAGUUACACACAUGCAGACCUUUACAUUGGCUUUUGAAUUAUUGCAAGUCUAUUAACAAGGGUUAAUGAUAUUUUUUGUUAAUCAUCACAAAUUAAGACCACUUUUAUCAUUUCUAAAGCAAUUAAAAAUCUAUGGUUGGCUGUAAACAAACUACAGCAUGGUUUAUUUAAGU